GACAUAGGUGGCGAACGUUAUCCGGAAUUACUGGGCGUAAAGGGUGCGUAGGCGGUCGCGUAAGUCAGGUGUGAAAUCCCGGGGCUCAACCCCGGAACUGCACUUGAUACUGCGUGGCUAGGGUACUGGAGAGGAGACUGGAAUUUACGGUGUAGCAGUGAAAUGCGUAGAUAUCGUAAGGAAGACCAGUGGCGAAGGCGAGUCUCUGGACAGUUACCGACGCUGAGGCACGAAGGCCAGGGGAGCAAACGGG
rnacentral:rRNA from 1 species